GUCUACGGCCAAUCCCGCCUGCUUAGUACUUAGGCCUGGUUAGUACUUGGAUGGGAGAUCAACUAGGAAGACCAGAUGCUGUAGGCG
rnacentral:rRNA from 1 species